rnacentral:rRNA from 1 species
UAGUGAUAUGCUUGUCUCAAAAAUUAACCCAUGCACGUGUCAGUAUAAGCUUUUAUACGGUGAAACUGCGGAUGGCUCAUUAUUAAACUUUGUAACCUACUGGGCGGGUGUUUACUUGGAUAACCCGAGUAAUUCUCUGGCUAAAAAAUGCGAAAAACCCUUUAUUGGGUUGUAUUUAUUAAAUCUUUACCUACUGAUGAGGUGAGUCACAAUAAGGCAACAAAUCACAUGGGGUAACCCGGCAACAAGCCCUUCUGGCUUAUUCCCUAUCAACUUUCGAUGGUAGGAUAUUUGCCUACCAUGGUGACCACGGGUAACGGGGAAUUAGGGUUUGAUUCCGGAAAGGGAGCCUGAAAAAUGGCUACCACUUCUAAGGAAGGCAGCAGGCGCGCAAAUUACCCAAUCCUGGCGCAGGGAGGUAGUGACAAUACGUACUAAUGUGGGCCUUUGGCUCGCAAUUGAAAUGAGUACAACUUAAACCUGUUAACGAGAACCCAUUGA